GGGACAAAUAAUAUGUACCAUCAAACAUGUCUCGAGAAAUAACACCAUUUACAGACCACACAGACGUCGUUAGUUAUCCCAGAUGAUAAAUAUUACCAGAGUACAGAUUGAUGUGACGGAUGAGCCAGACUCUAUUAAAUGCUAUUGUAUUUUUAUUUAGAUCGUAAUAGAUGAUUAUUCAAAAGGCGAUCUAUAUUAUAAACGUAAAAAACGGAUGUGAGCGCCAUCUAUGAGUUAACAGCGUUACUAAACAACCAUCAUGGAGGUUCAGUGUAGAGUUUCUCGUCCUUUAAGUCAGGAAGUCCGUCACCAGGUGGAGCCACGAGGAUGGACGCCGCUCACCUACACAACUGAACAUCCCUGGAAAUAUUCCCUCUGAGGCAUCGAAGGAGAUUUUACAACAAAACUUAACAGAUGAAAAUGAUAACUGGAGCUUAGAACAAGAUCUCCCACCAACCUCACCACCUAUGGCAAGGUAGGAGAAGCUCUCAUGGCCUAUACAGGAAAUCUUUGUUCUCGUCAAACUCUUAAGACAAAUACUGUGAUGUCACAUCUCAAGACCAAGUG